UUGUAGCAUCUUUGUCCAGUUGUCUAUAGUUUUGUGUAUACAAAGUGAAUUGUUUACAGUGAUGCUUGGUUUUUGGAACGAAGAAAUUUUUAGUGACAUAAGAACGAUGAUUGCCGUUAUUCUUCGUUUAUACUGUGGCAGUGGAAAUUGUUUUCAGUUCUUCAGAAAGCGUUGGCGUCUCUGCGAAUGUUAAGCCUGUGGGCGUGCAGCCAUAACCUGGCUGAGAAUUCUUUUAGUGCCAGGAAUUAGGAACUACUUAAUGGUUACGAAACUAAACGAAUCUGUCAAUACGGAUGGAUAAGGUAAUUUUUUACUAAAUUGUUAAUUGGAAAUUAUAUACAAUGUGUAGCCCUACUUAUUACAAUGUGAAUUGGGGCAGGCCUGGUAUAUCACUGCAUUUUGUGUUCCUACAAAGUGUCUAUUCCUAGCCCUUCAGAAUUUCAUUGGAAUUCAUACAUGUUAAAUAUAAAUGUGCGCAUUAAAGAUGAAAACUACCUACUGGACAGUGUUCCAAAAUUGUGUUCACAGGUCCCAGUGCAUGGCAUCCGUCUCUACAGAGCUGCCACUACAUUGCUGGAUCUCUGCAACCUCAGUUUCAGAUAUCUUCAAAGUGUGCAGAACCUUUUGUUUGCACUAAUUGUGGCAAACAUUAUCGCUUUAAGGGGAACUUGCAACGACAUGUGAAACAUGAGUGUGGCAAGUUGCCACAGUUUCAGUGUCCCUACUGCCCGAGGCAGAGCACUCAAAAGAGCAAUCUGAUUCGCCAUAUUAAAAAGUUUCAUCCUAUGGAACCGAUUGUAUAAAAUGUGUACGUGUACUUCAGUAGUUGUUUUAUGAUUUGUUUCGAGUGUGAAACAAUACUGUUAACUAUUGUAGUACUGCUUGCAUAUGGUACUGUUGAACAGAAUAUAGAUUGACUGAAUCUGGAAUGUUACUGCCAUAGUUGCUUUUGUAAUUAGAUGAAAUGAUAUUUGUUGUUAUUAAAGGCAGUGAUAAACUGCUCAGAUCA